rnacentral:rRNA from 1 species
UACGUAGGGAGCAAGCGUUAUCCGGAAUUAUUGGGUGUAAAGGGAGCGCAGACGGCAGUGCAAGUCUGGAGUGAAAGCCCGGGGCUCAACCCCGGGACUGCUUUGGAAACUGCAUAGCUGGAGUGCUGGAGAGGCAAGCGGAAUUCCUAGUGUAGCGGUGAAAUGCGUAGAUAUUAGGAAGAACACCAGUGGCGAAGGCGGAUGACUGGACGACAACUGACGGUGAGGCGCGAAAGCGUGGGGAGCAAACAGG